GCCGUGCUUAACACAUGCAAGUCGAACGAUGAACCACUUCGGUGGGGAUUAGUGGCGAACGGGUGAGUAACACGUGGGCAAUCUGCCCUGCACUCUGGGACAAGCCCUGGAAACGGGGUCUAAUACCGGAUACUGACCAUUGCAGGCAUCUGUGAUGGUCGAAAGCUCCGGCGGUGCAGGAUGAGCCCGCGGCCUAUCAGCUUGUUGGUGAGGUAGUGGCUCACCAAGGCGACGACGGGUAGCCGGCCUGAGAGGGCGACCGGCCACACUGGGACUGAGACACGGCCCAGACUCCUACGGGAGGCAGCAGUGGGGAAUAUUGCACAAUGGGCGAAAGCCUGAUGCAGCGACGCCGCGUGAGGGAUGACGGCCUUCGGGUUGUAAACCUCUUUCAGCAGGGAAGAAGCGAAAGUGACGGUACCUGCAGAAGAAGCGCCGGCUAACUACGUGCCAGCAGCCGCGGUAAUACGUAGGGCGCGAGCGUUGUCCGGAAUUAUUGGGCGUAAAGAGCUCGUAGGCGGCUUGUCACGUCGGUUGUGAAAGCCCGGGGCUUAACCCCGGGUCUGCAGUCGAUACGGGCAGGCUAGAGUUCGGUAGGGGAGAUCGGAAUUCCUGGUGUAGCGGUGAAAUGCGCAGAUAUCAGGAGGAACACCGGUGGCGAAGGCGGAUCUCUGGGCCGAUACUGACGCUGAGGAGCGAAAGCGUGGGGAGCGAACAGGAUUAGAUACCCUGGUAGUCCACGCCGUAAACGGUGGGCACUAGGUGUGGGCAACAUUCCACGUUGUCCGUGCCGCAGCU
rnacentral:rRNA from 1 species